rnacentral:tRNA from 1 species
UCCGAUGUGGCGCAAUGGUAGCGCAGGCGGCUGUUAACCGCAAGGUUGUAGGUUCGAUCCCUACCGUCGGAGCCA